UACGGGGGGAGCAAGCGUUUGUUCGGAUUUACUGGGCGUAAAGGGCGCGUAGGCGGUCGUGACAAGUCACUUGUGAAAUCUCCGGGCUUAACUCGGAACGGUCAAGUGAUACUGUCGGACUAGAGUACAGAAGGGCAACUGGAAUUCUCGGUGUAGCGGUGAAAUGCGUAGAUAUCGAGAGGAACACCUGCGGCGAAGGCGGGUUGCUGGGCUGAUACUGACGCUGAGGAGCGAAAGCGUGGGAGCAAACAGG
rnacentral:rRNA from 1 species